rnacentral:rRNA from 1 species
UGUUUCGGCUAGGGGGCCAUCCCGGCUUACCAACCCGAUGCAAACUGCGAAUACCGGAGAAUGUUAUCACGGGAGACACACGGCGGGUGCUAACGUCCGUCGUGAAGAGGGAAACAACCCAGACCGCCAGCUAAGGUCCCAAAGUCAUGGUUAAGUGGGAAACGAUGUGGGAAGGCCCAGACAGCCAGGAUGUUGGCUUAGAAGCAGCCAUCAUUUAAAGAAAGCGUAAUAGCUCACUGGUCGAGUCGGCCUGCGCGGAAGAUGUAACGGGGCUAAACCAUGCACCGAAGCUGCGGCAGCGACACUGUGUGUUGUUGGGUAGGGGAGCGUUCUGUAAGCCUGCGAAGGUGUCCCGUGAGGGAUGCUGGAG